rnacentral:tRNA from 3 species
GGCGGCGUAGCUCAGUUGGUUAGAGCGGAGGUCUCAUAAGCCUCAUGUCCGGGGUUCGAAUCCCUGCGCCGCCACCA